UACGGGGGGGGGCAAGCGUUGUUCGGAAUUACUGGGCGUAAAGGGCUCGUAGGUGGCCAACUAAGUCGGACGUGAAAUCCCUCGGCUUAACCGGGGAACUGCGUCCGAUACUGGAUGGCUUGAGUUUGGGAGAGGGAUGCGGAAUUCCAGGUGUAGCGGUGAAAUGCGUAGAUAUCUGGAGGAAGACCAGUGGCGAAGGCGGGUCUCUGGACAGUUCCUGACACUGAGGCACGAAGGCCAGGGGAGCAAACGG
rnacentral:rRNA from 1 species